UGACUAAGGCGCUUCAACCAGGU
rnacentral:siRNA from 1 species